rnacentral:rRNA from 1 species
CCUACGGGGGGCAGCAGUGGGGAAUUUUGCGCAAUGGGGGAAACCCUGACGCAGCAACGCCGCGUGGAGGAUGAAAUCCCUUGGGAUGUAAACUCCUUUCGAUCGGGAAGCGGUACCGGGAGAAGAAGCCCCGGCUAACUUCGUGCCAGCAGCCGCGGUAAUACGAGGGGGGCAAGCGUUGUUCGGAAUUAUUGGGCGUAAAGGGUGCGUAGGCGGUUUGAUAAGUCAUCUGUGAAAUCUCUGGGCUCAACCCAGAGUCUGCAGGCGAAACUGUCGAGCUUGAGUAUUGGAGAGGUGAGUGGAAUUUCCGGUGUAGCGGUGAAAUGCGUAGAUAUCGGAAGGAACACCUGUGGCGAAAGCGGCUCACUGGACAAUCUGACGCUGAUGCACGAAAGCUAGGGGAGCAAACAGGAUUAGAUACCCUUGUAGUC